rnacentral:rRNA from 1 species
UACGGAGGGUGCGAGCGUUGUCCGGAAUCACUGGGCGUAAAGGGCGCGUAGGCGGCCACCGCAAGUCGACUGUGAAAUCUCCGGGCUUAACCCGGAAAGGUCAGCCGAUACUGCGGGGCUAGAGUGCAGAAGGGGCAACUGGAAUUCUCGGUGUAGCGGUGAAAUGCGUAGAUAUCGGGAGGAACACCAGAGGCGAAGGCGGCUUUCUGGCCUGUAACUGACGCUGAGGCGCGAAGGCUGGGGUAGCGAACAGG